GUUCCCUUAGUUAAAUGGAUAUAACAGCCCCCUCCUAAGGGGCAGUUGCAGGUUCGAUUCCUACAGGGAGCACCA
rnacentral:tRNA from 1 species